rnacentral:lncRNA from 12 species
CCUGCCUGGUUGCCCUGGCAAUGGGAGUGGAGGGAAGAAGGGAAUUACAUAAACAGUGUCAAUAACUAGACAUGCCAGCUCUUAGAGCUUGGAAGGGAAAAUCUCUGGGGCCACACAGCAUUGGAAGAUGUAUUUAAAUAACCUGGUAAAGCAUUGCAGCAGCUGGGAGCUUCUCCAGGACACUGCCUUGCUCCAACGGGGAGGAGGAAAAACCAAGGCUGAUGCUGGUAAAGCUCUUGCUGUGAAAUUUGAAGUGGAUGUAAGGCUCCAGGAGUAUUUGCUGCAGAACAGCUGUGCUCUUCUUUACCCUCCUGGUGCCAGUCCAGCGUGAAAUUCACCUGCGUUUACAUCAGAGUAAAACAAAGUACCCCUGGGAGAAAAG